AGUGAACGCUGGCGGUAGGCCUAACACAUGCAAGUCGAACGGCAGCACAGUAAGAGCUUGCUCUUACGGGUGGCGAGUGGCGGACGGGUGAGGAAUACAUCGGAAUCUACUUUUUCGUGGGGGAUAACGUAGGGAAACUUACGCUAAUACCGCAUACGACCUACGGGUAAAAGCAGGGGAUCUUCGGACCUUGCGCGAUUGAAUGAGCCGAUGUCGGAUUAGCUAGUUGGCGGGGGAAAGGCCCACCAAGGCGACGGUCCGUAGCUGGUCGGAGAGGAUGGUCAGCCACCCUGGAACUGAGACACGGUCCAGUCUCCUACGGGAGGCAGCAGUGGGGAAUAUUGUACAAGGGGCGCAGGCCUGAUCCAGCCAUACCGCGUGGGUUAAGAAGUCCUUCGGGUUGUAAAGCCCUUUUGUUGGGAAAGAAAAGCAGCAGGUUAAUACCCCGCUGUUCUGACGGUACCCAAAGAAUAAGCACCGGCUAACUUCGUG
rnacentral:rRNA from 1 species